AUUGAACGCUGGCGGCAUGCCUUACACAUGCAAGUCGAACGGCAGCGGACCUUCGGGUGCCGGCGAGUGGCGAACGGGUGAGUAAUAUAUCGGAACGUACCUUUCAGUGGGGGAUAACGUAGCGAAAGUUACGCUAAUACCGCAUAUUCUGUGAGCAGGAAAGCAGGGGAUCGCAAGACCUUGCGCUGAUUGAGCGGCCGAUAUCAGAUUAGCUAGUUGGUGAGGUAAAGGCUCACCAAGGCGACGAUCUGUAGCGGGUCUGAGAGGAUGAUCCGCCACACUGGAACUGAGACACGGUCCAGACUCCUACGGGAGGCAGCAGCGGGGAAUUUUGGACAAUGGGCGCAAGCCUGAUCCAGCCAUGCCGCGUGAGUGAAGAAGGCC
rnacentral:rRNA from 1 species